AGAUUGAACGCUGGCGGCAUGCCUUACACAUGCAAGUCGAGCGGCAGCACGGGAGCAAUCCUGGUGGCGAGUGGCGAACGGGUGAGUAAUAUAUCGGAACGUGCCCAGUCGUGGGGGGAUAACGUAGAGAAAUUUACGCUAAUACCGCAUACGAUCCAAGGAUGAAAGCGGGGGACCGUAAGGCCUCGCGCGACUGGAGCGGCUGAUAUCAGAUUAGCUUGUUGGUGAGGUAAAAGCUCACCAAGGCGACGAUCUGUAGCUGGUUUGAGAGAACGACCAGCCACACUGGGACUGAGACACGGCCCAGACUCCGUACGGGAGGCAGCAGGUGGGGUAAUUUUUGGACAAGUGGGACGAAAGCCUGAUCCAGCAAUGCCGCGUGCAAGGAAGAAGGCCGUUGGUUGUAGUACUGUCUUUGUACGGAGACGAAAAGUCUGACCCUAAGUACGACCGGACCC
rnacentral:rRNA from 1 species